rnacentral:rRNA from 1 species
AUUGAACGCUGGCGGCAUGCUUUACACAUGCAAGUCGAACGGUAACAGGCCGCAAGGUGCUGACGAGUGGCGAACGGGUGAGUAAUGCAUCGGAACGUGCCCGGUCGUGGGGGAUAACGCAGCGAAAGCUGCGCUAAUACCGCAUACGAUCUAUGGAUGAAAGCGGGGGACCGUAAGGCCUCGCGCGAUUGGAGCGGCCGAUGUCAGAUUAGGUAGUUGGUGGGGUAAAGGCUCACCAAGCCAACGAUCUGUAGCUGGUCUGAGAGGACGACCAGCCACACUGGGACUGAGACACGGCCCAGACUCCUACGGGAGGCAGCAGUGGGGAAUUUUGGACAAUGGGCGCAAGCCUGAUCCAGUAAUGCCGCGUGCAGGAAGAAGGCCUUCGGGUUGUAAACUGCUUUUGUACGGAACGAAACGGUCCUGGUUAAUACCUGGGGCUAAUGACGGUACCGUAAGAAUAAGCACCGGCUAACUACGUGCCAGCCGCCGCCGUAAGAC